rnacentral:rRNA from 1 species
UACAGAGGUCUCAAGCGUUGUUCGGAUUCAUUGGGCGUAAAGGGUGUGUAGGUGGCGCGCUAAGUCGGGUGUGAAAAUUUCGGAGCUUAACUCCGAAACUGCAUUCGAUACUGGCGUGCUUGAGGACUGGAGAGGAGACUGGAAUUCAUGGUGUAGCAGUGAAAAUGCGUAGAGAUCAUGAGGAAGACCAGUGGCGAAGGCGGGUCUCUGGACAGU